CAGCAGUGGGGAAUAUUGGACAAUGGGCGAAAGCCUGAUCCAGCCAUGCCGCGUGUGUGAAGAAGGUCUUCGGAUUGUAAAGCACUUUAAGUUGGGAGGAAGGGCAKUUACCUAAUACGUGAUUGUUUUGACGUUACCGACAGAAUAAGCACCGGCUAACUCUGUGCCAGCAGCCGCGGUAAUACAGAGGGUGCAAGCGUUAAUCGGAAUUACUGGGCGUAAAGCGCGCGUAGGUGGUUUGUUAAGUUGGAUGUGAAAUCCCCGGGCUCAACCUGGGAACUGCAUUCAAAACUGACCUGACUAGAGUAUGGUAGAGGGUGGUGGAAUUUCCUGUGUAGCGGUKAAAUGCGUAGAUAUAGGAAGGAACACCCAGUGGCG
rnacentral:rRNA from 1 species